UCUAGAGCAGAGCGCAACUGGGGAAGUACCUCCACCUUCCAGAAAACCGCAGCCAGAUAACACUAGACCCUACUAGUGUUGUUUUCCUGCCGGUGAGUAUGGUUCCCAGAGCUUAACGAGGGUGCGGAGUGUUAGGGUCGGCAACGCGCAUGUAAUACCUCUGUAGUUGCAGGCGUCCAUAGGCUACGGUGACUGCUUACCAUCAGGCGGCCCGUAUGCUUGUUUGCCACCGAUGUGGUAUAAAAAAAAAACAUA